UAAAUGCAUGUUUUUGUCUAUAC
rnacentral:miRNA from 1 species